rnacentral:misc_RNA from 1 species
UGUUAACGUUGUCACAUGUUUCAUUUUGCACGGAAAGUACAAAAAUAUCGUGCCCUGGCGAGAAAAACAAUGAGUGGGAUAGGAGCGAGAGAACCUUAGUAAAAGGUGCGCGGCUCGUUCCUUUUAAUUGCGUCCCUAAAUUAUUCACCGUGGACGCUGUAACCGUCGUUGUGCCGCCACUGUGACGGGUCCACCUCGUGGAUCCUUUCUGUUUGCUAUUCCUCCGCGAGAUCCAACACGGGGGCAACGAACUAAAAGUUCGCGCGGACAUCGAAGGAAUAAGUCGGCUCUGUAUCAAAGCUUACUUUUGGGAAUGGUAACGGAGAGCUAGGUGGAUCGGCCAGACGAAAUGGAAUGGCGUCGGCGGACUGACAGGCGAGGAGAAAGGGGGAUGAGAGAGAG